rnacentral:misc_RNA from 1 species
GUGAAUCAUCGAAUCUUUGAACGCACAUUGCGCCCUUCGGUAUUCCGUAGGGCAUGCCUGUUCGAGCGUCAUUUACAAAUUCAAGCCUUGCUUGUUGUUGGGUGCUGUCCCGCCUCUGUGCGAGACUCGCCUUAAAUCUAUUGGCAGCCGUGGGAUUGGCUUUGUGCGCAGUACAAUUGCGCUUCCGAGCUUCUCCUUCGCCUUCCAGAAGCCUUUUUUACAACUUGACCUCGGAUCAGGUAGGGAUACCCGCUGAACUUAAGCAUAUCAAUAAGCGGAGGA